CCUACGGGUGGCAGCAGUGGGGAAUAUUGGGCAAUGGGCGCAAGCCUGACCCAGCAAUGCCGCGUGAAGGAAGAAGGCUUUCGGGUUGUAAACUUCUUUUACAGGGGAAGAGCAGAAGACGGUACCCUGAAAACAAGCCACGGCUAACUACGUGCCAGCAGCCGCGGUAAUACGUAGGUGGCAAGCGUUGUCCGGAUUUACUGGGUGUAAAGGGCGUGUAGCCGGGAAGGUAAGGCAGAUGUGAAAUCUGAACGCUCAACCUCCAAAUUGCAUUUGAAACUGGUUGUCUUGAGUACUGGACAGGCAGACGGAAUUCUUUGUGUAGCGGUGAAAUGCGUAGAUAUAAGGAGGAACCCCAGUGGCGAAGGCGGUCUGCUGGACAGCAACUGACGGUGAGGCGCGAAAGCGUGGGGAGCAAACAGGAUUAGAUACCCUAGUAGUC
rnacentral:rRNA from 1 species